AAUCAUGGCUCAGGAUGAACGCUAGCUACAGGCUUAACACAUGCAAGUCGAGGGGCAUCAGGAAGAAAGCUUGCUUUCUUUGCUGGCGACCGGCGCACGGGUGAGUAACACGUAUCCAACCUGCCCUUUACUCGGGGAUAGCCUUUCGAAAGAAAGAUUAAUACCCGAUAGCAUAAUGAUUCCGCAUGGUUUCCUUAUUAAAGGAUUCCGGUAAAGGAUGGGGAUGCGUUCCAUUAGGUUGUUGGUGAGGUAACGG
rnacentral:rRNA from 1 species